GACUUUCACCACCUCUGCGCCCGCUUCGCCGUGCGCUCCGGGCGCUUCGCAAGCAAACCCGAGGUGGAGAGGCGGGUGUCCGCUCAGUGGCGGAGUCAAGAGACACGUGUUUGCCUGUGAAGUGGAGAAAACGCGUUUCCACAGAGGCGACUGUUUGCGUGGGAUCGUGUAUGCAUAUUUAAUAGAAGAGUGGGCAGCGAUAAUUCGGAGCGAUCUGGCUCACCAAGUGGGCAAAGUGAAGCAGGGGCGUGAGAGGGCUGCUGGUGACAAGUUUUCACUUGAUCAGCUGCUCAUCCCACACGGUUGCGCCGCGCUCUAGAGGUCAGGCUCGGUGUUUUGGCGGCAACUUUUGGCUGCAAUUUACCAUACGACGGAGACAGCUUUGGAUUCACAUAUCCUCGGAUGGUUAGAGAAAAUAAGCGCUUUUUGCUUGUUUGUUUGUUCGUUGUUGUUGAUUUAGCUAAAUGAUUUUUUUAUUUGUCGAGCCGGGCUGUGUGUUUCUAAGCGGUAGGAACCUCACACACAAAGCCAGCGCGUUGUCAGUCUGCAGAUGCAGCCGAGGGCUGCUGAGCUGGAGGAGGGAUCUGACUGGUGCACAUUUUUGGACGCAUGUGAAACGGCGCAGUCCAUGAUGAUGAAGAUGAUGAUGCUGGCCGCAGCUUUGCAGACAAUCGCGGCAGCUGAGUGAGCCGUGAGGUGCUGUCCAGGGUGCUGAAGAGUCGCCGUGUUGUCCACUCCUCCUCCUCCUCCUGCCCGCCGCUCCCUCCCCCCCUUCCUGCCCGUCCAGACUGCACGCGUGAACAGACGUGGAUGCCGAGCAGCGCAACACGGCCCGAGUAAAUAAAUGGGACCGCACGUCGUCCGAGCGUUUGAGAGAUCAUGGAGAGAUUUUUCCUGCUCGUCCUCAGCGGCUGCCUCGGCGUCUCUCGAGUCACGGCGGAUAGCCUGUCGCCUCCCUUCAAUGUGACCAUCAAAGAGGUGAAAGCAAACUCUGCUGUGGUGUCAUGGGACAUCCCCGAGGGAGACCCCGUCAUUGGCUUUGCCAUCACACAGCAGAAGAAAGACGUGCGCAUGCUGCGGUUGAUCCAGGAAGUCAACACCACCACGCGCUCCUGUGCAUUAUGGGACUUGGAGGAGGAGACAGACUACAUUGUGCACGUCCAGUCCGUCAGCAUGUCCGGGACGAGCCCGCUGAGCGAACCGCUGCGCUUCCGAACCCCAAAGGAGGCCGAGACGCAGGCCUCUAAGAACGAAGUGACCAUGGAGGAGGUGGGUCAGGCGACCCAGCUGAGGGCUGGAGAGCUCAUCAUCAUUGUGGUCGUACUCAUCAUGUGGGCAGGUGUGAUUGCCCUCUUCUGUCGUCAAUAUGACAUAAUCAAAGACAACGAGCCCAACAACAACAAGGACAAAGCCAAAAACUCCUCGGAGUGCAGUACUCCUGAACACCCGACGGGGGGGCUGCUGCGCAGUAAGGUAUAACCCACCCCUCUGCUCCUUCUCCUCCCCCUGGGUGCCUCCCCCUCUCAGCGACGCUGGCCAGUUCCCCAAGAACAACAACAACAACAACAGGUUGCCAUCUGUCAACAUCAUUGAGGUGUGACUGCCGUUAAGUCUUUUCUUUACUCAGAAGACUUCAUGCAAACAACGAGCCCCUUCUAGGUCCGUCAGCUGUCAGGAUGACGCUGGGACAGAGGGACUCUGGGCGUGCAGGCGCCGCUUUCUCUUCUUCAACCCAGGUUCUGGUGUGGAGCUGAAGCUGCAGGGACUCCAGGGGACGUGGCGGAAUGAGGCCGAGCUCGGCCUCGUUUUCCAGGAGAGCAGAAAGACUGCAGGAAGAGUUCAGCAGCGGGUCUGUGCUCGGUGACAGUACAUUGGGGUCACGGUUAUUAGUGUUGUGGAGAGACUGCAGACGAACCGACCCCAGGGACCAAGGCUGAUCAAACAGAGCCAGAAACCGUUACCGGAAGAAUUUGUACUUAACUUUUUCUGGGUGGUACUUUAAGCUUCUUUUAACGCUUAUUUCCUCAUGGGCUUACCCCGUGCGUUUGAUGAUUUGGUAUCUGUUUGGGCCUUUUUUUCAGUGAAUUGCAAGUGCAGAGACUCUUUGCUGUUCUGGUACAUUUGUAUUCCCCCCUCAGGGAAUCCAGACUCCACCCGGGUAACAAAAAGAGCCAUUUCCACUACAGGCUGCAAUGUCACCAGAGCAGCUUUAGAGGGAUCAGUCGGCUAAAAUCACUCACAGUCAUUAACUCGUGUAUAUAUAUAUGACAUAGUUCUUCAAGUCUGACCUGUAAUUUCUCUCGUCUUUUUUAUUAUAGACUUCUAAAAUGUAACAUUCCUCUCCCUGAACGAGCCCUUUAGUACCUCCUGGUGUCUUUCUUUUCGAGCGUGAUGGAUUUCACGUCAUUUUUGUGAGCAGCAGAACUCCCCUAAUGGAGUUCAUCCAUCUAAUUAAUUAACUAUGAAUGGGGCUGGACUCUGCGGACGUCUGAGGAGAAGAGAUCCCUUCAAUCAGCAAUAACAGCCCCUCAGAGGAAACGAAGGAAGUCCGGACUUGAACUCUGGAUCCUCUGGAAAAAGGAAAACUGUCAGCAUGUCAUGGAUGAACAAACUGGACGUUCAAGUAUGCUGGAAUAAACCUUGGGUAUCAUUUUUAAGUGAUCCUCAAAAAAGCCUUUUCAGCUCUGUUGAAAAAAAAAAAGAAAAAGAAAAUAAAUAAAAAUAUUUCCCUUGGCAAGCAUGGAAAAAAAUAUUUUUUAAAUCGGGCCCAACUGGGGAACCCUGAGACUUCUUUACGGCAUCCUGAACAGAUGUUGAGACAGAAGGGCUUCUUUCAAGACUUUUUGAAUUAUUAUUAUUACGAACAUGUGUUUAAAGUCCAUGGUAAUGAGAAUAGCUAUUGUGGUAAGCGCAUACAUGAUGUAUUUGAGGGCUGAUUUACACUCAGUAGUACUGCCUUAACAAUAAUUGUAUCCCAUUACUUAUAAGAUGUUUGGCUUUGUCUCUCACUUUUGUGGCAUUAUAUUUACCUUUCACCCAGUAUUUAAAUGUUUGUGCAAAGUGAAGGGAAAACAUAACAUGCAGGUUGGAGGAAUUGGCAAGUAUCUGAUUUGUAAAUACAUUUUAAAUGUCUUAUUUAGUACAGUCAGUCUAGAGAGGCUUUGUGGAAUAAGGUUGAUGUAGAAAAUGUCUCGAUUUGUAGGGAAGCUAGAUCACAUUUUUGUCCAAACUGUUUAGUUUUAUGAAAAGCCUUUUUCCAAAAAAAAACACACAAAAAAACACUUCACCUACUCUUAUGAAUUUUCAUUAUGUCAUUAUGCCUUUUAUGUUCAAAAGGAGGAGUUGGUAGGAGCGGGCACUGAAAAAGAAAAAGCUCUGGCUAGUAGAAAUCAGAAAAUGGGCUGCAAACAGUCCAAAACAUGACAAACACCGACGCCCCUUCAGUCUUGAGUACAAAGAAAAAGGAGGAGGUAAAUGGAGAUCGGUGAAGGUUGCAGUGGAGUGGACAGAAUGAUGACUAAUUUAAUGGCAGGUUUUUAUCGCCAUUAUCCGCCUCUCACUUUCGCAUCUUUGGCACAGCUCUUAGAAAAAAAGAAAAAAAAAUGGAAAAAGUUCCAAGACCGUGCUCCUCCAGUGAGCAGAGGCCGAUGUCAGAGUGUGACUUUAAAGUCAGGCUCGUUGGGACUUUCCACCUAAUUAAACUCAUUUAACGUUUGCCAAACUUCUCGUUGUUCUGCAGCCACUUCACUGCAAACUAAACACGACUCAAAGUUCAUUUACACAGCAACAGAUACUCUGAUAUUUAGUUUGACUUAUUUACCAGCAUUAUUUAUUAUUAUGACCAAUACACCACGACUACUUACAGAAAGUCUCAACUUUUUUAAAGGAGCACAUUUCCUUUAUUUGCAGUCAAUUUCAGUGUAUAUCUUAACCUUUUGUGUAAAUACUCAAAUUUUAUUGACUGAAUUUGAUAGAUGUUGUAAGAAAUGCUUUUUUGAAAUUGUCCAGCUUUACGUAAAGUUACAAGGUGGAAGGUUUUUGAAGAUGAAUCUUUGUGUUACACCAUCCUAUCUUUUAAGAGAAACUUUCUUAUAUAUAGAAAAAUAAAAUCAAUUUAACUUCCCCUGACAGUCCUGAUGAAUCAUCAUGACUAAUUCAAAACAAUUUUCCUUGUUCUUCAUGUUGAGAUGCAUUUUUCCCCAGACUCAAGACUCUAAAAUUAUUCAAUUUUAGGCCAGUGGACAAGCUAUAUUGAAGAGAUGGAAACGAGGAUAAAUGAAUAGAUAGUGGGAAAAAUGGGUUGAUGGACAAACAGUUCUACUGGACUUCUGCCAGUUUUACAUCUUUCUUUACAAAUAUUUUUCAAUUUUAUUUUUAAUUUUUAUUGUUGAACCUGGAAUAUUCCUCAAAUAAAAUUCCAACCUUUUCCAAAAUGAAAUUUACAUAAAGUCAAUUUGUAAAGUCGAACCACAAAUGUUCCCUAUGAGUUCAAGCAGUAUCCAGAAACAAUAGGGAAUUGAUAGAAAUGGGAAAACAGACGAACUGGUGGGUGAAAGCAGCUUUUAAAGGAGAUGGGGAACCGUCUGAUAAUACAGACUUUUCUACACUCUGGAAAAUCCAGACUUGCAUUUCUAGAAUUUUCAGUACUAUAAUCCUAAAUUUAAGGCAUGAAUACAAAGCUUUAUGAUGAGUUUAUGGCAAGUAUUUCCACAGCCAGGAAGAUUUUUUAAAACAAGCAAAAAAAAAAAAGGCAAAAAGUGAGAAGACAGAUCAUGGAGAAAUGCAUGAAUAGACAGACAAGACUUUAUAUUAAAUCUUUAAAUGACAGACACAAUACUUAUAAAAGUUUCCAGACUGUGGAGGAAACUUUCUGAAAAGGAUCAUGGAAACAUACAAAUAAACAUCCUGACUCAGAGGGUCAAUGGGUUGGUAAAAAUAAUUCUGUCAUUAAAUUUAUGAGCCCCGUUUGGGGCUUUUCUUUCCCCAAAGAUAACUUUUCACCAUUGUUAGCAUGCCUGUUUGAAACAUACUAUAUUGGACAUAAUGCUUGUGAACUGACACUACUAAAUUUGGAUGUCAGCUUUGACCCACUGAUCUUACUAACCUGGCAAUUUAAGGCAAA